UCUUAUCCAGAGGUGGUGGAGGGAUCAAACCCUAUGAAGCCAGAGCAACCUCCUUUUCAAGAAAGGUGCUAAAGAAUGCAGAGAAAUUCUGAGCGAUAAGG
rnacentral:ncRNA from 1 species